GGCGCAAACUUGAAGUAGAGAGCAUUGGUAUGGUCAGAUGAUCGUACUAAUGGACUCUACUUCGAGUUUGGGUCC
rnacentral:pre_miRNA from 1 species